UUCGGUUGCCAGCUUCUUUGUAAGCCAGCUGGACCAGAACCAAAACAAAGAAGUCUUCUUUGAAGAAUUUGAACAGAAUUUAGAGAAGCUUAAAGAGGCCAUCCUUAAAGAGAAAUAGAAUGUGGAAGACCAAUGAUUGCAACAUCAAGAUCCAAGUACGGA